rnacentral:rRNA from 1 species
AUUCCAGCUCCAAUAGCGUAUAUUAAAGUUGUUGCGGUUAAAAAGCUCGUAGUUGGAGUUCUGCCAGGUGACGCUCGUCCGCCCAAGUGGUGUGUACAGGGCGUGCAUCUGGCCCUUUCAAGGGGAACGUGUCUGCUCUUUAUUGAGUGGUGCGAGAUCCUUGACUUUUACUUUGAGGAAAUCAGAGUGUUCCAAGCAGGCUCUCGUCGUGUAUAGCUCAGCAUGGAAUAAUAGCAUUGGACUUCAUUUCUAAGCUGUUGGUUGCAAGAAGCGAGGUAAUGAUUAAUAGGGACAGUUGGGGGUAUCCGUAUUUCGUAGUCAGAGGUGAAAUUCUUGGAUUUACGAAAGACGAACUACUGCGAAAGCGUUUACCAAGGAUGUUUUCAUUA